rnacentral:ncRNA from 1 species
AAAAUGAAUGAAAACAGAGAAGCUUAGCACUCCCCUUGACAAGGAUGGAAGAGGCCCUCGGGCCUAACAACACCCACAUGAUUAAGGCUGCACCAGCCACAUCAGAGG